AGCCGAGCGGUGAGAUCUUUCGGGAUCUUGAGAGCGGCGUACGGGUGCGGAACACGUGUGCAACCUGCCUUUAUCAGGGAGAUAGCCUUUCGAAAGGAAGAUUAAUAUCCCAUAAUAUAUUAAGUGGCAUCAUUUAAUAUUGAAAGCUCCGGCGGAUAGAGAUGGGCACGCGCAAGAUUAGAUAGUUGGUAAGGUAACGGCCUACCAAGUCAGUGAUCUUUAGGGGGCCUGAGAGGGUGAUCCCCCACACUGGUACUGAGACACGGACCAGACUCCUACGGGAGGCAGCAGUGAGGAAUAUUGGACAAUGGGUGAGAGCCUGAUCCAGCCAUCCCGCGUGAAGGACGACGGUUCUAUGGAUUGUAAACUUCUUUUAUACUGGGAUAAACCUACCCUCGUGAGGGUAGCUGAAGGUACAGUAUGAAUAAGCACCGGCUAACUCCGUGCCAGCAGCCGCGGUAAUACGGAGGGUGCAAGCGUUAUCCGGAUUUAUUGGGUUUAAAGGGUCCGUAGGCGGAUCUGUAAGUCAGUGGUGAAAUCUCACAGCUUAACUGUGAAACUGCCAUUGAUACUGCAGGUCUUGAGUAAAGUAGAAGUGGCUGGAAUAAGUAGUGUAGCGGUGAAAUGCAUAGAUAUUACUUAGAACACCAAUUGCGAAGGCAGGUCACUAUGUUUUAACUGACGCUGAUGG
rnacentral:rRNA from 1 species